CUUUUGUGUUCCACAGGAAAAAAACAAAAACAAACAUUUUACAAGUUUGGAACAUCAUGAGGGUGAGUGAAAACAAACAAACAAACAACAACAACAACAACUGUUAAAAAAAAUUGUAAAGAAAUUAUUAUUUUUAUUUAGCAAGGAUGCAUACAGUUGAUCAAGUGUUCUUUUGAACUUUAUCAGAAUCCUGAAAAAUGUAUCAGUUUCCGUAAAAAUAUGAAGCAGUACUGUUUUCAACAUUGCUAAUAAUCAGUAAUGUUUCUUGACCAUCAAAUCAGCAUAUUAGAGUUAUUUCUGAAGGAUCAUGUGAGUAAUGAUGCUGAAAAUUCCGCUUUGAUCACAGGAAUAAAUUCCAUUUUACCAUAUACUCAAAUAGAAAAAAAAAUUAUGUGUAUCGAUUUUUCAUAAUAUGACUGUUUUUGCUGUGUUUUUGAUCAAAUAAAUGCAGCCUUGGUGAGCAGAACAUGAAAAAAUCUUACCGACCUCACACUAAGUAGUGAAUAUCUUUCAGGGUCAGAUUUGUUGAUGCUGGUAAGGAACAGCCUAUUAAUCAAUCCAGGUUUGUCAGGUUUGCAGCGUCACUCAUACCAGCUACUGCAGGAAGUGUGUGUUUAUGUGUGUGACUGUUAUCAUCCCAAAUGAGCAGCAGCACUCACAGCGGUGCAGUCAUGUCAGUAAAGCUGAACUGGAUGUAACAUGAGUCAUUAAUCAAACUGAGCGAGGCAAUGGAGGAGGGAUGUGAAGCUGAAAUGAUUAAAUGGCUCUCCAUAAGGUUCUCAUAACGCAUUAUUUAAAAUGUCUAUCUGAGGGAGCAAUUAACAGAAGCAGGAGCAAAGCCAAAUGGACUGUGAGGCCAAGAGCUGAAGCAGCAGUGAGAGGACAGAUUCAUCUGCAAACACAUGAGUUACUCUAUUAGCCUGUGCACUAAUAUGACCCGCUUAGGCCGGCGGGGGCAUUAUUCAAAUGUCCAAGACCAGGAGGUCCACGAAAUCUUCAGGCUUCAGGUCACACCUGACCUUUACUAUCCUUUCAGCAUAUUUACAGGACAUGUUUAGCACAGCUUUGUUUACUUUGUGCAUUGAAGUAGAAAUGGUGCACUGUGCUUAGACUAAUGUAUGCAGAACCUUGUUUGGCCAUUGCUGAUUACAGUAUGCCAGUGCUGUAGUUAGCCGAGAGCACUUGCGGUUUGUUGUGCUCUCACAUCUCCUGUCCUUUAUUUUAAAGGUCUCUGCGGUGCUGCUUGUUAACUGCUUUCCAACAUUCUGCCAAAUCCCAAUCAACAUCCCUAAUAUCAGGUGACAGUUUAAUGCCUGGCAGGUCUUCCAGAAAAAAAAGUGUGCCAGGCUUUGCAUACAAAGUUCUUCUCUGCACUUCUGAACUUUCUGCUCAGAGAUUAUUGAUUAAAACUUAGACUAAAAGUAUUGAUUUACAAACAUUUUUGUAAAUUAAAGUAAUUCAGGGGAAGUACAUUUAAGGAAAGUAAAAACAAUGGUUGAAAGCACAAUGAAAUUAAGCCAUUUGUUCCAUUUGGUUCCCCAAAUGAUUCUUUUACCAUAAUUACAAAAGAAAAAUUUAGCUUUUAGAGUGCACAUCUAUUAUUAUCAUUAUUAUUAUUAGUUCAUAAUUAUAAAAUUAUUAGUAAAAUGUAAUUUUUUUCACACACACACACACACACACACACACACACACACACACACACACACACACACACACACACACACACACAUAUAGAUAUAUACUUUAUAUAGUAAUUAUGUACUAUAUAUCUAAUAAAAUUAUUGUUUAGUAAUAAUUUUUUUAUAUUUUACAAUCUAUUACUUUUAUUUUGUGUAUUUUUCUGCAUA
ensembl:lncRNA